rnacentral:rRNA from 1 species
ACGGGUGAGUAACACGUAGGUAACCUGCCUAUGAGACUGGGAUAACUAUCGGAAACGAUAGCUAAGACCGGAUAACUGGUUUUCUCGCAUGAGAGAAUCAUGAAACACGGAGCAAUCUGUGGCUUAUAGAUGGGCCUGCGGCGCAUUAGCUAGUUGGUAGGGUAAUGGCCUACCAAGGCGACGAUGCGUAGCCGACCUGAGAGGGUGACCGGCCACACUGGGACUGAGACACGGCCCAGACUCCUACGGGAGGCAGCAGUAGGGAAUCUUCCGCAAUGGACGCAAGUCUGACGGAGCAACGCCGCGUGAGUGAUGAAGGUUUUCGGAUCGUAAAGCUCUGUUGCCCUAGACGAACAGCAUGAGGAGUAACUGCCUUGUGUGUGACGGUAUAGGAGAAGAAAGCCCCGGCUAACUACGUGCCAGCAGCCGCGGUAAUACGUAGGGGGCAAGCGUUGUCCGGAAUUAUUGGGCGUAAAGCGCGCGCAGGCGGUUAAUUAAGUUGGGUGUUUAAGCCCGGGGCUCAACCCCGGUUCGCAUCCAAAACUGGUUGACUUGAGUGUAGGAGAGGAAAGUGGAAUUCCACGUGU